AGUGAACGCUGGCGGUAGGCCUAACACAUGCAAGUCGAACGGCAGCACAGUAAGAGCUUGCUCUUACGGGUGGCGAGUGGCGGACGAGUGAGGAAUACAUCGGAAUCUACUUUUUCGUGGGGGAUAACGUAGGGAAACUUACGCUAAUACCGCAUACGACCUACGGGUGGAAGCAGGGGAUCUUCGGACCUUGCGCGACUGAAUGAGCCGAUGUCGGAUUAGCUAGUUGGCGGGGUAAAGGCCCACCAAGGCGACGAUCCGUAGCUGGUCUGAGAGGAUGAUCAGCCACACUGGAACUGAGACACGGUCCAGACUCCUACGGGAGGCAGCAGUGGGGAAUAUUGGACAAUGGGCGCAAGCCUGAUCCAGCCAUACCGCGUGGGUGAAGAAGGCCUUCGGGUUGUAAAGCCCUUUUGUUGGGAAAGAAAAGCAGCAGGUUAAUACCCCGCUGUUCUGACGGUACCCAAAGAAUAAGCACCGGCUAACUUCGUG
rnacentral:rRNA from 1 species